rnacentral:lncRNA from 1 species
AGUCACAGCCAGCCCCCAAAUCAGUGGUUAGAAACCACAUCUAGGAAGCCUUGUUCCCUGAGCCUGCUGUUCUGUCCCUCUCACACCAGCCCCAGGGAAGUGGCUGCUCCUCCUGGGGCAGCACACAGCACAAUCCUUGUCACAAACCCCAACUGUUCACCACAUUCCCUGUGGUUUUCUUUUUGUUCUCCCAGGAAGACAAGAAAGACAUACACAUGCUCCAUUAUUCUGAAAAGUGAAGCACUGGAGAAGGCUGGAGUUUCAAGCACACUUCAUCAACGGACUGGCUCUGACAAUUUGGUGUCUUGUUCAGUGGCAAACCACUCCCUUCAGUGGAACAGGAUCAAAUCUUUAAAAAUGUAUUUUUAAAUGAAUUAUUUGUCUUAGCAUACUGAAAUGAAAAUGACUUUUGAGUCAUUUUAUCUUCUGUGCCUAAACUGAGUUAUGUGGUUGUGCUUGCUUCCUUGAGCUGACUGUGACUAGUUAGCUCAUGUUUAUGUCUCAGUGUUUGUUUAGUCACAAAGUCUCAUCUAGAAGGAGUUAUUAACUUUCUGAAACAACCUGUUUACUCAGUACAUGUUCUCUCUGUAUUAUGAUAAACAUGAAAUUAGACAGAUUAAUGAAAUACUCAUUGGUCUAUGUUGAAGUCUGCAGAGGAGUUAUUCUGGAUAUAGGGGAAAUUGCGGUUAUCAUUUAUUUGAAUGGGUUUGUCAGUAUAAAAAUUAUCAGAAUCAUUUUCCCCCAAUUACAGUGCUCACAGCAUCUGUAAUUGCUGUAGUAAAAAGCAGUGGAUGAAAAGAUUCAUCUUCCAUAUUGUAAAUACAGUCAGGUUCUUUCAACUGACAGCAUACUAAGGUUCAUUUUUGUAAACAAGCAUGCAUUUUUCCAGUUACUGGUAAUAUCAUUAGUGGCCUAAUCCUGUUACUUUUAACUCAGUAUGCAAGUGUUAGGAAGGUUGAAUGUUGCAGUAAAUUUGUUUACUAAGCAGACAAUGAUAAAAGUAUUUUUGUUACUUCUUUCAAAUGGCAAAUAAAAUCCUAUCUGAGUACUUUAUCA